CUCGCUGGCUGGAUGGGAGAGUGGAAGUGCCAUCUCUCUUCCUCCCUCUGUUUCUGUGGGGCUGUCUGACAGGAGAAUGUGAGUAGUCAAAGCAGACUAACACUAACAUAGAGUUUCUCAACGCCUGGGGGGCAGAGGGAGAGGGGGAGGGGAGAGAGGGAGGGAGAGAGAGAGUGCUUGUUGGUCUAUCAGAGGAAACCGUCUGUUCAUGUCCACCUAGCCGUGCUGCUGCUCCAGUUUCAACUGACCUGAGCCCUAGGACCAUGCCCCAGGACUACCUGACAUGAUGACUCCUUGCUGUCCCCAGUCCACCUGACCGUGCUGCUGCUCCAGUUUCAACUGUUCUGCCUUAUUAUUAUUCGACCAUGCUGGUCAUUUAUGAACAUUUUAACAUCUUGGCCAUGUUCUGUUAUAAUCUCCACCCGGCACAGCCAGAAGAGGACUGGCCACCCCACAUAGCCUGGUUCCUCUCUAGGUUUCUUCCUAGGUUUUGGCCUUUCUAGGGAGUUUUUUCCUAGCCACCGUGCCUCUACACCUGCAUUGCUUGCUGUUUGGGGUUUUAGGCUGGGUUUCUGUACAGCACUUUGAGAUAUCAGCUGAUGUACGAAGGGCUAUAUAAAUCAAUUUGAUUUGAUUUGAUUUAGACAGAUCUGGACAGAGAAACCAUUUCAAUCGUAAUUAUCCUGCAUUAUAAAAGCAUUGACAGGUGGUACCAUUAACCGAUUACAUCAAUAUGUGUCUUACAAUAAAUACAUAAAUAUUAUUUUGAAAGAAUAGCUGUGAAAUAAUUUGCAUAAAGGAAUGGACCAGGAAGUGUAACAGCGUCAGCACUGACACGGUAAUAAUUUAACACUCAAAAGUGUGGACCCAUAUAGACAGUGGCCAGUUGAUUUAACACUGGAGAAUUUGCUGUGUUGGCUUAAGCUACUCAUGACGUACCUUAUGUUAUUAUAUUUAUAUAUUGAAGUUGAGAUAUGUAUUGCAGACAGGUUUAACUACAUUAUUUAAUGCACAUUUAGGCUACAUAUUAUUAAGUGAACACACCACCUCAGACUUCAGUGCAGAGCCAACCUUUGACUGUGAUCUGAUUACAAUCACAUAGCCAUCAUGCAGUAGCUUUCCCAACUAUUUAUAAACACCGUGCACACUCAGGCUCUCAUAAAGAAUGACUGAUAAACUCUCUCACCCUUGAACACAUCAACCUAGAUAACUCCUGGUGGUUUGGUGCAGGGCUAUAACCUACCUACCAUAUCUACCAGAACCUCUCGAGAGAUAACUACCUACCGAGAUGGAGACUGGAAUCUGUGCCUGUCUCGCCCUCUACUGGUCAAUUACAAUCUGUACUGUUCCUUCUCUCUCUCUUUUACAUAUUUUAACUGUUCCUUCUCCCCUACACCUCACUCUCACACUCUCCCUCCCCCCUUCUCUCUCUCCACCUCUAUCUCUCCCUCCCCCUCUCCCCUCUCUCCCCCUCUAUCUCUGCCUCUCUCUCUAUCUCUCCCCUAUCUCCCUCUCUCCCCCUCUAUCUCUGCCUCUCUCUCUCUCUCCCCUCUCUCUCUCCCCCUCUAUCUCUCCCUUCUCUCUCUCCCCCUCUAUCUCUCCCUCUCUCUCUCUCCCCCUCUAUCUCUCCCUCUCUCUCUCCCUCUCCCCCUCUCUCUCUCCCCUCUCCCCCUCUCUCUCUCUCUCUCUCUCCCUCUCCCUCUCUCUCUCCCCCUCUAUCUCUCCCUCUCUCUCUCUUACACAAACACACACACACAAUAAAUCACGAAAAACGUAUUUGAUGUAUAAUACUUUUUAUUAUAACUUAAAAAGAGAUUGGAUCAAAAACAGACUCAAUAAAUAAGAAAUAAAUAUCAUUGUUGUAAUAAUUCAUUCAUAAUUAUAAUUACUCUGACAGAGUCUGACAGAAACAGACCCUUUUUUGCUCUAAAAAAAUCUAAAAUCAGAAACUCGUAACCCCUUUAAACCCUUCAUCAUUUCUCCCUAUUAACAAAAAUAAUUGAUAAAUUAGUCAAUAAAUAAAAAAUUGUUAAAAUAUUAAAACCUCUCAGAAAAGUUGCAGUCCCUCCCACCCACAUUUAUCCUAAAAUCUAAGUAGAAAUUGAAAAUAUGUUUGUGAUUCUCCCCUUUCUUUAUUUCUAAUACAAUAUCCCCUAACGAAGAUAAUAAUAAUAAUAAUAAUAAUAUUUUGUCAUUUUUCAGUGAUUUAUCUAAAGUACUCUCUUUUUGCAUUUUUUUGUAAUUUUCUAAAUGUUACUCUUCUUAAACUAAAUUAUUUACAGGCCAUAAGGAUCUCUCUCCAAAGUUUCUCUAAAUUACUCAUUUUUGUCUCAAUAUUUUUUCCUGUUUUCCUUUUUUUAUUACGAAAUGGAGGCCUUCCUAUUUGUAUCAUGUUAUACACAUGUAAUAGCCAUGUAAUAUGACAUGUUAUGGUCCAAAGAAGUGAUAUAUCACCAUUAUUCAUCAUCUCAUCAAUGACUUUAGUAAGUACUUCCUGGGUCGUGUAUGUAUGUGAUCUUCACUGCCCUACACACUCCAGACAAACUCCUCACAAACCAUUUUCAAACUGAGUCCAGUACAAUGGGUACGAUUACUGACAUAUAUGUAUUUGAAAGUAUGUCAGUGUUUGUGUGUGUGAGGACUAUAAUAUGUACAUUGGUCAAUAUCUGUGCCUUGGUCCUUUUAGAGUGCAAUGUGUGUGUGUGUAUGUGUGUGUGUGUGUGUGUAUGUGUGCUGUUCCCCGUCGCUCAAAACAAAGGUAGUAGGUCUGAGGGCGCAAUGCACGCUGGGAUUCCACCACGGCCGGAGUCUGAAAACUUCACCUGCAAGAGAGAAGGAAGGAAGAGUGAGAGGGAGGGGUUGGGGGACAGAUGUAGAGAGAGAGAGAGAGAGAGAGGGGGAUAGUGUGAGAGGGAGUGAGUGUGAGAGAGAGAGAGAGAGAGAGAGAGAGAGAGAGCUUUUUAGGACAUGGAUAUAGUCUUGUGGUUAACCUCUACUAUAAUCCUCUAUAUAUCAGAGAACAAAGAAAUAACAGUAUAGAAACAAUUCAUCCCUCAUGUGGAUGACGUUUCCAAUAAAAAACAGUUUACCUCUA